rnacentral:rRNA from 1 species
GACGAACGCUGGCGGCGCGUCUAAGACAUGCAAGUCGUACGGAGGGGGAGCAAUCCCCUUAGUGGCGAACGGGUGAGUAACACGUAGCUAACCUGCCCCUUGGACCGGGAUAACCGGGCGAAAGCCCAGCUAAUACCGGAUACGCUCUGAGGAGGAAAGCGGGGGACCGAAAGGCCUCGCGCUGAGGGAGGGGGCGUGCGGCCUAUUAGCUAGUUGGCGGGGUAACGGGCCCGACCAAGGCGAUGAUGGGUAGCUGAUCUGAGAGGAUGAUCAGCCACACUGGGACUGAGAUACGGCCCAGACUCCUACGGGAGGCAGCAGUUAAGAAUCUUGCGCAAUGGGCGAAAGCCUGACGCAGCGACGCCGCGUGAGGGAUGA